CAAUGAAUAAGUGAUUGAAUGAUUGAAUGGAUAAAGGCCUUUACUGUUCUACUUGAGGCUGUCAAAAUGGAUAGGUUUUUGCUACAGUCCUCACCACCCCUCUUAAUGCCAUGUCAGCAGCAUGGCAUAUGGACCUGCAAACCCAGGCUCUGCAUCAGGUUGCCAGGUCACCUAAAUGACAGCUGUGAAUUCUUCUAAAACAGGGGUCAGCAAACUAUGAUCCGCAAGUUAAAUCCAGUCCACAGCCUGUUUUUGUA
rnacentral:lncRNA from 1 species